CCUAUGGGGGGCUGCAGUGGGGAAUAUUGGACAAUGGGCGAAAGCCUGAUCCAGCCAUGCCGCGUGUGUGAAGAAGGCCUUCGGGUUGUAAAGCACUUUCAGUGGGGAAGAAAGCCUUGGGGCUAAUACCCUCGAGGAAGGACAUCACCCACAGAAGAAGCACCGGCUAACUCCGUGCCAGCAGCCGCGGUAAUACGGAGGGUGCGAGCGUUAAUCGGAAUUACUGGGCGUAAAGCGCGCGUAGGCGGUCUGAUAAGCCGGUUGUGAAAGCCCCGGGCUCAACCUGGGAACGGCAUCCGGAACUGUCAGGCUAGAGUGCAGGAGAGGAAGGUAGAAUUCCCGGUGUAGCGGUGAAAUGCGUAGAGAUCGGGAGGAAUACCAGUGGCGAAGGCGGCCUUCUGGACUGACACUGACGCUGAGGUGCGAAAGCGUGGGUAGCAAACAGGAUUAGAUACCCGAGUAGUC
rnacentral:rRNA from 1 species